AGAGUUUGAUCCUGGCUCAGAUUGAACGCUGGCGGCAUGCUUUACACAUGCAAGUCGAACGGCAGCGCGGGGGCAACCCUGGCGGCGAGUGGCGAACGGGUGAGUAAUAUAUCGGAACGUACCCAAGAGUGGGGGAUAACGUAGCGAAAGUUACGCUAAUACCGCAUACGAUCUAAGGAUGAAAGCAGGGGACCGCAAGGCCUUGUGCUCCUGGAGCGGCCGAUAUCUGAUUAGCUAGUUGGUAGGGUAAAGGCCUACCAAGGCAACGAUCAGUAGCUGGUCUGAGAGGACGACCAGCCACACUGGAACUGAGACACGGUCCAGACUCCUACGGGAGGCAGCAGUGGGGAAUUUUGGACAAUGGGGGCAACCCUGAUCCAGCAAUGCCGCGUGAGUGAAGAAGGCCUUCGGGUUGUAAAGCUCUUUUGUCAGGGAAGAAAAGGGAGCAGCUAAUAUCUGUUCCUGCUGACGGUACCUGAAGAAUAAGCACCGGCUAACUACGUGCCAGCAGCCGCGGUAAUACGUAGGGUGCAAGCGUUAAUCGGAAUUACUGGGCGUAAAGCGUGCGCAGGCGGUUUCGUAAGUCUGUCGUGAAAUCCCCGGGCUUAACCUGGGAAUGGCGAUGGGGACUGCGAGGCUAGAGUUUGGCAGAGGGGGGUAGAAUUCCACGUGUAGCAGUGAAAUGCGUAGAGAUGUGGAGGAACACCGAUGGCGAAGGCAGCCCCCUGGGUCAGAACUGACGCUCAUGCACGAAAGCGUGGGGAGCAAACAGGAUUAGAUACCCUGGUAGUCCACGCCCUAAACGAUGUCUACUAGUUGUCGGGUCUUAAUUGACUUGGUAACGCAGCUAACGCGUGAAGUAGACCGCCUGGGGAGUACGGUCGCAAGAUUAAAACUCAAAGGAAUUGACGG
rnacentral:rRNA from 1 species